GGUGUGACAUUUGCCCUAGAACGUCAAACGUAGUUUUACAAACGCGUUCCUGUCUUCGCCUCCGCUUCAGUCUGUAGGAAGUACGUGUUUGUCUGCGUGUAUGAGCGCUGAUAUGGACACUGUUGUCGUUGUUGUUAUCGCGAGCGCAGAUCAGAAGCAGAGGGAUCAGAAGCGGAGCUGGAGGAGACUGCUGUGGAGACGUUCAGCGCGUGAGGAAGAAGUCGUUGCAGGCCACGGUCAGUGCACCCAUGAGGAUGAUGAACUCGGUGAAGUCCACCUCGCCGUCAUUAUUGGCAUCCAGGUCGUUCAUCACCCGCUCCACUGCGUCUUUAUCUUGAGCGUUCUACACGAAGACAAAAAUGAAAAGAUGGAGAGUUAAAACUGUGUAUCUGUAAUGUAAUACACUGGCACCAUUCGUGAUAUGAAAAACAUCCAUUUAACAUUUCUACUGCACGAAACAUUUCCAAAAAGGUUAUGAAUACCUUUCCAUUCCACCAAAGGUUCUUUAAAAUGUUUUAAAUGUUAUCAAAUGGUUAUUUUAAGAACUGUUUUUUUAUGGUGUUUCAGUGAAAACUAAUUUUAAAAAGUUUUAUGUUGGAAGAGAUCGUUAGAAUAGCCUUCAAACUAAGAAAAAAGUUCUGGCACUGCUGUGAAAGCCCACUUUUGUAACCUUCAUUUUAAAGAAUCUAUGCAUUGAAGCAAAGUCAUGGCAGAUUUUGAAUAGUGUGUAGUUUCGGGAACGCUGGCACUGUUAAUGAAACGGCAUGUAUGUUCAUUUCAGAAGAAAGAGCCACAGGCUGGAUCCACGUAUUUGCGUGAGACGCAAUUACAGGAUCACUGAAUCUGUAAACCCUUAUCAAAUGGCCAUUUUGUAAUCUGUGCUUGCAUUACAGGUUGUGUCAUGUUUGCUUUGGCUAAAAUGUAUAUGUAUUUAAUCUUUUUCUGAGGAAUUUAUGUGGAAUGUUUUAUAAAAAAGUGUGGGAGGGGAUAAGAAAAGAUUGUUUCAUUAUUAAAUUUCAUCGGCUUUACUUUCUUA